rnacentral:rRNA from 1 species
GGAGUUUGGACCGUGUCUCAGUUCCAAUGUGGGGGACCUUCCUCUCAGAACCCCUACUGAUCGUCGCCUCGGUGGGCCGUUACCCCGCCGACAAGCUAAUCAGACGCAUCCCCAUCCCAUAGCGGUGAACCUUUGCUCCUCAUCAGAUGCCUUCGAAGGAGAACAUAGAGCAUUAAUCCGACUUUCGCCGGGCUAUUCUCUACUGUGGGGAAGGUUGGAUACGCGUUACUCACCCGUGCGCCGGUCGCCAUCAAAGUUUGCAAGCAAACUUCAUGCUGCCCCUCGACUUGCAUGUGUUAAGCCUGUAGCUAGCGUUCAUC